AACUCUGAGCAGUAGAUCACUCGGCUCACGGAUCAAUGAAGAACGCAGCCAGCUGCGAGACUAGGUGUGAAUUGCAGGACACAUUGAGCACUGAUUUUUCGAAAGCGUAUUGCGGUCUCAGGUAAUACCCGGGACCGAGCCUGUUUGAGGGGCA
rnacentral:rRNA from 1 species